rnacentral:lncRNA from 1 species
GUUUCCUGUUUAUUCCUUACAGGUCAGUGUGGUGGAUUUUAUGGCAGAUUUCUACAGCCAAGACACAAAUGCUGACAGAUUUUCAGGGAUCUCCCUCUCCCACAAAGGCACCCCUGUCUCUGCACAGCGCUCAGGUGACUUUAAUCUGUAAUAUCAGCAAUAAUCACCAUGGUAUUGUUGCCUAGGCAUUCCUGAAGAGUCAGAAGUGGACUGUAAUUGAAGAGUUCAUUACCAAGAUCAGUUGGCUCCUUGAUUACAGUGGCAAGGUGAAAUAUAUAUCCUCACCAAAAAGCAACCGCUAAACCUUUAGAGAAGUCACCCACUUUUCACUCUUUUUCAUUAGGACCCCGACAAGCUUGUCAGCAAAAUUAAAGGUAUGUCAUUCACAUCGUGCAUGCAUUGCAAAGGACUAUAAACCUGCCAACCCCUUUGAUGAAAUAAAAGGGUUUUA